AGAGUUUUUCUGAAUGUUAAGAUUUCUUCAGCCUCCUGAUUGACUUUGGAGUUUUCCAUCUUGGGAGAGAAAGUGAAGGUGUUAGCAUUUUUAAGUAGCUUGAUCACAUAAACCCUUUCUCUCCCAACCCCACCCUUGCCCCCAACCCCUUCCCCACACUGGAAAUAAUUUUACUGGCUGUUAAGUCUUUGACCUUAUUUUUCCUGAUCUUUAACUUAACUGUUUUAGAGCAUCUCUGGACGUCUGUAUUUUUAAUUUUUUUAUCUUUUUUUUUCUUUUUAAUCUUUCAUUUGUUAGAUUUUUAAACUGUGCUGCAAUAAAAUGUGUGUGGUACUAUUUAACCCUAUAAUGGUGAUGGAAUUUUCCCAAAAAGCCAUCUUCCUACUGUUUCCCUUGAAAUCCCAUCCUGCUUUUCCUGUACACUACCCCUCACAAACCACAAGCCGCAGCAACAUGGAUGCCAGUUUGGAGCAGCAACAGCCAGGAUGACCUGGAGCCAGGGGGGCCUUCGGAACAGAUGUAUACCCUUCCUGGAUGAUGUUUUCAGCCUUGUGAGAAACCUCAUCAUCAAAGGAGAUGGCUAGCAAUGUUACCAACAAGACAGAUUCUCGAUCCAUGAAUUCCCGUGUAUUCAUUGGGAAUCUCAACACUCGGGUGGUCAAGAAGUGUGAUGUGGAGGCCAUCUUUUCAAAGUAUGGCAAAAUUGUGGGCUGCUCUGUGCAUAAAGGCUUUGCCUUUGUCCAGUAUGUUAAUGAAAGAAAUGCUCGAGCUGCUGUAGCUGGCGAGGAUGGCAGAAUGAUUGCUGGCCAGGUUUUAGAUAUUAACCUGGCUGCAGAGCCAAAAGUGAACCGAGGAAAAGCAGGUGUGAAACGAUCUGCAGCGGAGAUGUACGGUUCCUCAUUUGACUUGGACUAUGACUUUCAACGGGAUUAUUAUGACAGGAUGUACAGUUACCCAGCACGGGUUCCUCCUCCUCCUCCUAUUGCUCGAGCUGUGGUGCCUUCCAAACGUCAGCGUGUUUCAGGGAACACCUCACGAAGGGGCAAAAGUGGAUUCAAUUCGAAGAGUGGACAACGGGGAUCUUCUUCCAAGUCUGGAAAAUUGAAAGGCGAUGACCUUCAGACCACUAAAAAGGAGCUGACUCAGAUAAAACAAAAAGUGGAUUCUCUUCUGGAAAGCCUGGAAAAAAAAUUGAAAAAGAACAAAGCAAGCAAGCAGACUUGUCCUUCUCAUCCCCAGUAGAGAUGACGAAUGAAAAGUCUGAAGAAGAGCAGAGCAGCGCCUCUGUGAAGAAAGAUGAGACUAAUGUGAAGAUGGAGUCUGAGGCAGGUGCAGAUGACUCUGCUGAGGAGGGUGACAUGCUGGAUGAUGACGAUAAUGAAGAUCGGGGGGAUGACCAGCUGGAGUUGAAGGAUGAUGAAAAAGAGCCCGAGGAAGGAGACAACGACAGAGAGAGCGCCAAUGGAGAGGAUGACUCUUAAGCACGUAGUGGAGCUUAGAAAUCUUAUCCCAUUAUUCAUUUACCUAGGCGUUUGUGGGAGAUGAAAGUAACACCAGGUCAUCUCCCCUGGGGUCUUCUGCACAUUCUCACUGUUGUCCCGCCUUACCCUCCCUGUGUUCAUUAAUUCAUGAUUG